GAGUUUGGUCCUGGCUCAGGAUGAACGCUGGCGGCGUGCCUAAUACAUGCAAGUCGAGCGAACAGAUAAGGAGCUUGCUCCUUUGAAGUUAGCGGCGGACGGGUGAGUAACACGUGGGUAACCUACCUAUAAGACUGGGAUAACUUCGGGAAACCGGAGCUGAUACCGGAUAACAUUUAGAACCGCAUGGUUCUAAAGUGAAAGAUGGUUUUGCUAUCACUUAUAGAUGGACCCGCGCCGUAUUAGCUAGUUGGUAAGGUAACGGCUUACCAAGGCGACGAUACGUAGCCGACCUGAGAGGGUGAUCGGCCACACUGGAACUGAGACACGGUCCAGACUCCUACAGGAGGCAGCAGUAGGGAAUCUUCCGCAAUGGGCGAAAGCCUGACGGAGCAACGCCGCGUGAGUGAUAAAGGGUUUCGGCUCGUAAAACUCUGUUAUCAGGGAAGAACAAAUGUGUAAGUAACUGUGCACAUCUUGGCGGUACCUAAUCGGAAAGCCACGGCUAACUACGUGCCAGCAGCC
rnacentral:rRNA from 1 species